GUAGUAAUGUAUAAAUAAAUAAAUAAGCAAAUUAUUAAAUAAAGAAAUAAUUUAAUAAAUAAAUAAAUUGAGGUAGGAACCGUAAUAAGAGUUAAAAAAGAUCUAGCGCAACAACAUGUCACAGGAAUAGACUCCAAUUGUAUUCUGCAAGAAGAAAAUAGAAAAGAAAAGUUGAUGAGGCUUCCUUCUUUACAAAAACAACAGAAAAAACCUGAUCGAGCGUUCAUCGCAAAACGGGAAUCCUAUGAAGCCAAAACACAAACACCUAGUGGGCAUAUCAUUCACCGCAAAGGAAUCAGAUGCGCUCUUCAAGAAAUCAAAACCGAGGGGACCCAAGAUGCCCAGAGAGCACACAUGAAGAUACAAACUUGGAAAAACUAAAUUAGAAGAAACCCCUAAUUGAAAUCGAAAAGAAACCAAUUUUAUAUUUAAAGUUGGCAAAUCAAGAUGCAUAUACAGAGAUCAAAUAAUCCUUCUCCUCCAAAAACAACAAUAAACACCCCGUGAAGCAAAAACACAAACACCUGAUGGGCAUCACAUCCACCGAAAAAGAAUCAGACACUUUGCUCAAGAAAACCAAUACCAUAAAGAGGACAUAGAGAUCAAAGGUUCCGUAAAAGAAUCAGAAGAUACCCAAUUGAAAAAAGAAAAAACGCGAAUUGGGAUCGGAGGGAUGAUAACUCACGUCCUCAUAGGAAGAUCGGGCGGUUCCUUGAGGGCGACGAGAUGCGAUUUCGCUCUCCUCCGACGAAGUAGAAGAAGCCGCAGUCCGUCAGCAACAAUAUAAAACCCAGAAAAGAACCUGCACUUGAAAAAGAUAGCAAAGAUAAGCAAAUCAAAUGCGACAAAGCUAUACAGAGAACCCAAAAAAAAGAAAAAAAGAAAGAGGAAGAGCGAUUCUGAGGGGAGGAGCUCGUCGUUGAGAUCGCGAUGGGACGAUGCGGCGGAGAAGAAAACAGGAGCCCCGUUCUCGAUCUCAACCGUCGCCUUCUUUAAUUUCUUUGCGAGGAGAGAGAGAGAGAGAGAGAGAGAGAGAGAGAGAGGAGGGUCACUGGG
rnacentral:lncRNA from 1 species